AGUGUAUGCAGUGUGUGUUGUAUUAGUGAAUGCAGAGUGUGUGUUGUAUUAGUGUAUGCAAUGUGUGUGUUUUAUUAGUGUAUGCAGAGUGUGUCAGUGUAGUGUAUGCAGUGUGUGUGUUGUAUUAGUGUAUGCACUGCGUCUACUCUUCUCCUCUGAUAACUCUCGUGAGAACCGCGGCCUGCGUGCCGCGGAGCGCUGCCAUGGUAACCCGUGGCAACGCUCAGAAGGUCGCGGGUCUCGCGAGAGUUAUUAGAAGAGAGGAGAAGAGAAGAGUAGACGCAGUGUGCUGGGCCCUCUCUGCGGUAA